AAAAAAUAGAAGAAAAAAAU
rnacentral:sRNA from 1 species